rnacentral:rRNA from 1 species
UACAGAGGUCCCAAGCGUUGUUCGGAUUCACUGGGCGUAAAGGGUGCGUAGGUGGCUUGGUAAGUUCGAUGUGAAAUCUCCGGGCUUAACCCGGAAAUGGCAUUGAAUACUAUUGAGCUGGAGGUUUGGAGGGGGACUGGAAUUCAUGGUGUAGCAGUGAAAUGCGUAGAGAUCAUGAGGAAGACCAGUGGCGAAGGCGGGUCUCUGGACAGUUCCUGACACUGAGACACGAAGGCCAGGGGAGCAAACGGG